UACGUAGGUGGCAAGCGUUGUCCGGAAUUAUUGGGCGUAAAGCGCGCGCAGGCGGCCUUUUAAGUCUGAUGUGAAAGCCCCCGGCUCAACCGGGGAGGGUCAUUGGAAACUGGAAGGCUCGAGUGCAGAAGAGAAGAGCGGAAUUCCACGUGUAGCGGUGAAAUGCGUAGAGAUGUGGAGGAACACCAGUGGCGAAGGCGGCUCUUUGGUCUGUAACUGACGCUGAGGCGCGAAAGCGUGGGGAGCAAACAGG
rnacentral:rRNA from 1 species